AGCAAAGCAAGUUUCAGAUCGCGCCCUCCACGAGAACUGCAGCGCCGUCUGCUUACCUGUCACCAGGACUGCCUUUUGAUCCGCAGGAGAAGAAUAAAGAACAACGGAAUAUAGACUUGUCCCAAAACAUGUGCUGAAGGUGGCUGAGGGACAGGAGGAGGGGUGAGGACGUGUAUCAUGGAUGGCACGAGAGAGGCAGGGCCUGGGGAGGGACGCGCCCCCCGGCACAUCGUGGAAGGAGGUGGAUAGAGCUUCAGAGAGGGCAUCAGGGAGGCCGGCUUCUGACCUCUGCUGGGCCGUGGUGAGUCACCGCCCUUGACCAGCUCAGCUAUAAAAGAACAUUCUACAAGAUACCCAGCAAGUACUCCACAAAACUGUCAAGGUCAUCAAAAACGAGGAAAUUCUGAGAAACAGUCACAGCCAAGAGGAGCCCAAGAAGACAUGACAAGUAAAUGUAGCGUGGGAUCCUGGAACAGAUAAGAGACAUUGGGUAAAAACUGAGGAAAUCUGAAUAAAGCAUGGACUUUGUGUAUCAA